rnacentral:rRNA from 1 species
UUAUUUAUUAUAUUAUAUUCUUUUUUUGUUAUUUUAUUUUUUAAUAAAAGAAAUUUUAUUUAGUUUUGUCUUAGUAUAUUUUAUAGAAUUGAUUUUUUUUAUUAUAGUUAAUUAGUAAUGUAAUUGGAUUAUUAAAUUAUUAUUUAAUUAUAAAAAGUAAAUUUAAUUUAUUGUACCUUUUGUAUCAGGGUUUAUUAAAUUUUUAGUACUUAUUUGCUAAUCUCGAUUUAGGUUGAUUUACAGUUAAUUUAUAUUUAAUGUAUUAUAAUUAUUUUUUAGUUAAUUGUAGAAAUGAAAUGUUAAUCGUUUCCUAAGAUAUCUAGUUUCUUAAGAAAAAGUUUAAUUUUUUAAAGUUAGUAGUUUCUUUUUACUUUAAUAAAUUGAAAUAUUAAUUUAUUUAUUAUUUAGGGGAUAAGCUCUAAAUCUUUCCUAUAAUCUUAUUUGUUAAAAUUAAAUAGUAAGCUUUAAAUCAGCUAUCUUUUAGAUUACGUUUUAGUUCAUUAUUUUUUAUUUUGAUUUUAUAAUUAAUUUAGGUUUUAUAUUAAGAUUGUUAAUUAAAUUUAAAAAUUAUUGUAAUAAUGAUAGAAUUAGUAUAUUAAUUUGUUUAUAAUAUUUUAUAUUGUUAAUUUAUUAUAAGGAAUUUGGCAAAAUUGAUUUCCGCCUGUUUAUCAAAAACAUGUCCUCUUGAUUAUAUUUUGAGGUCUAACCUGCUCACUGAUAAGGUUUUAAAGAGCCGCGGUAUUAUGACGUUGCAAAGGUAGCAUAAUCAUUAGUCUCUUAAUUAGGGGCUGGUAUGAAUGGUUUGACGAGAAAUCAUCUGUCUCUUAUUAAAUUAUAGAAUUUAACUUUUGAGUUAAAAGGCUUAAAUUUUUCUUUUAGACGAGAAGACCCUAUAGAGCUUAACAUUUUAUUUUAAUAUGAUUUUUGGUUAAUUUUUUUAUAUUUAAAGAUAAUGUUUUGUUGGGGUGACAUGAAGAAUAAAUAAACUCUUCAUAAUAAAAUCAUUAAUUUAUGUUUAUAUGAUCCAUAAUUUAUGAUCAUAAGAUUUAGUUACCUUAGGGAUAACAGCGUAAUUAUUUUUAAGAGCUCAUAUCGACAAAAUAGAUUGCGACCUCGAUGUUGGAUUAAGAAUAGUUUUGGGUGCAGAAGCCCAAUAAUUAGGUCUGUUCGACCCCUAAAUAAUACCCCCAUUUAGUUCUUACGGCGGGAACCCCCCCGUCUGUUUUUAUGAGUAAGUAAUUUUUUUUACAGUAGUACGAAAGCACCAUGUAACUAAAUUAUAUUUUAUUAUUAGUGAUUAAAUUUAAAUAUU